AAUUUGACACAGAUGUUAGCUCAGAGACAAUCUUCCUCACCAAAAAAAAAAAAAAAAAGCAUUUUAUGAUUUAGUAGAUCCAGAGAAAAGCCAGACAUUCUGCAUUGCUAAUAACCUCUCUGGUGAUGCAGAUGCUGCUGGUCUGUACCAGACAUUUUCAGUAGCAAAAUUGAGUAACUAUUUUUUUUCUGACCAUGUCAUUCAACCUUGCAGAUUCCUUCUACAUGGAACCUUUACUGAUGGCAUGACGCCAACCCAUUCUCAUACCUGCAAGUCAAAUCUUACCUCCUUAUGUGAAGGAUUUUUUUCUGUUAAGGGAGAGAAUUCAUAACUUCCUACUCUAAUGGCUUUCCCUUACAUUUAGGAUAAAAUGCAAAGUCCGUACCAGGCUUAGAAAGUCUACCUUUCCAACCCCUUUUCCUACGACUUUCCUCCUCACCCCACCACACUGAUCUUGCACUAUUGCAAUAUGCCAAACAUUCCCUAGCGUUAGGGAUUUUUUUAAAAUUUGCUCUGCCCAUCACAUGUCCUCAUGGCUUGGUCCCUCUUUUUCUUCAGGCCUUUGAUCAAAGAUCUCCUCAAACAGGUCAUUGGAUUGAAUUGACCCCUACACAAAGCUACCUAGAUGAGACUGAAAUGAAGGCUGAAAUCCAGCCUCUGCUUGGUUUACUAGACCAGAUUAAGAUUAAUCUGGUAGCAGAGGGCAGGAGAAGUAGACAGAAGAAUCACAAAACUCUUGCAGUAAAGCAAAUAUGAGAAAAGUAAGAAGCUAAACUGGGGCAAUUGCCAUGGAAAUAGAAAGCCGUGCUGGUGCCUAAGAAAGGCUGUGCAUGCAUGGAGGAAGUUGUGCCUUUUAGUAAAGUGCUCAAAGGUAUUAAAUGGUCUAGCAACUGGCCAGGUCUCAGAGUGGUCUUCCUUGAUCACCCAGUUUAAAAUACCAACCUCCUCACUAUUUCUAUCCCCUUACUCUGCUUUAAUUUUCUUAAAAAAAAUGAUGAAUCAGACAUUUUGUUAUGUAUCUUGAUUUCUUUUUGUUGUUUCUAUUUGAAACUCUGAAUGUCAGCUCAGUGAAGGAAGAACCUUUUUCUUUGUUUACUGAAAUAUGCCUACAGCCUGGAACAGUAUGUACGGUAUAAAAUAAGCAUUCACAUAAAUAUUAAUUUAAUUAAUCAAUGAAUGAAUACUCAGAGCCUCCAUAAAACAUACAAUAUGGAGCUAUAAGACAGAUAUAGGUUCAGGUCCUAACUUAACUACUUAGGGAAGUUACUUAUCUUCUCUGAAAAUGUUUCUUCAUCUGUAAAUGGGAAUAAUAGUAAUACUUGACUCACUGGAGGGUGGGGACAAUGACAUGGCAUAAUUAAUGUAAAGUUCUUAAUUUAUUUCACACCUUAUUGCAGUUGUUUACUUUUGUUUUUUCCCCUUGGCUAUGAGCUCCAUGAGAUCUCUUCUUACAGUGCUUAGUGUAUAAUAUGUAGUGAAGAAAACUUAUUUUCAAUAAUUCAUUCACAAAUAUUGUUCACUGAGUGACUACUCUGUGCCAGGUGCUCUGUUCUGAUACUUGGGAUACACAAUAAAGAGUGUGUGGGACCUCAUGAGCCUCACAUAGCUUCUGUGCAAUAAGGGAAACAGACAUAAACAAAUAAUCAAGAAAGCAAAAACAAACAAGAAAUCUUCUAUAGCUUGUAAUGUUACAAGAAAGAAAGAAACAAGGAACUGUCGUAGAAUGACCAUAAGGAAAUAGUUCUUUAACAUUUUGGAGGAGUGAAGAUUAUGGGUAAUAUUUGUAUUUGUUUAUUUUAAAUAUCUACUGAUAUCACACUGUAUUUUAUUAGCAAUAUCCUCUUUUUUGUCAAUGAGACAUAAAACAGGUAUCAAGGGUAUUUGCAAUCAUUUUUGACAAAUUUCUCAGGUAGAUGGCUCCUAGUCAGUGGAAGAUCAGGUGAUGUUUAUAGAGUAGUCAUUUCCAGCUCUACCCUUCCAGAGUGCCCAAUGCUCUGACUUUCCCUGAGCUCCUAUGGGAGAAGGGUGUGAUGUGUGAUAUAGGGCUAUCUCCAGGGUUCUGACAGCAAAGAGAAGCAUGCUUGGUGGGUUUAACUAAGGAGAAGUUAAUGAGCAGAACAAUCACUGUGGUGUGGGUGGAGUUAAGUGAAUGAUCAAAGACUAUUGAGAUAUCACAGACUAACUGCAGGGGAAACCAUUACUGCCCAUAGGCUGGAAGGUGCAAGAGGAAAGGAUGUGUUGCUGGAGCCAGGAGAGAUCUUGGAGCCAGAGAGGAGUGGCUGCUGUGAUGGGAGCUAGACUAUCAAAUGCAGGGAGUAAAGUAGCAAAGCAGGAAGGAGAGGGGCAGAAAUGCCUAAUCAGUCUUUCUUCUUCUAUGUUGCAAUUUUCCUACUGGUAACUCUUUUAGCCAAACCUAAAUGGAAGCUGGAGAGUAAAGAAACCUGGGUGACAGAGGCCAUAAAACGCAACUUCCUCUGGCAGAGUGCAGGAUGGUGAAGAGCAGACCAAAUGAGUUCAAAGUUACUGAAGUGAUCUGGAAGAUAAAAGAGGCGGUUUGGGUAAAUGUUCCAAAAGGAAAACGAAUUAACUUGUUAUUCUUUGAGAUGUGUUGAAUCACUUCCACCAAUAAAAUAAACACACAAUUUAAAAACCA